UACAGAGGGGGCAAGCGUUAUUCGGAAUUACUGGGCGUAAAGGGCGCGUAGGCGGCCUGGCAAGUGGAAGGUGAAAUCCCUCGGCUUAACCGAGGAACUGCCUCCCAAACUGCUUGGCUUGAGACCGGGAGAGGUGAGUGGAAUUCCCAGUGUAGCGGUGAAAUGCGUAGAUAUUGGGAGGAACACCAGUGGCGAAGGCGGCUCACUGGACCGGUACUGACGCUGAUGCGCGAAAGCGUGGGGAGCAAACGGG
rnacentral:rRNA from 1 species